rnacentral:rRNA from 1 species
GUGGUAAUGCCGGAUGCUCCAUCACAUCGCAUGGUGUUCUGGGAAAGCCUUUGCGGCAUGGGAUGGGGUCGCGUCCUAUCAGCUUGAUGGCGGGGUAACGGCCCACCAUGGCUUCGACGGGUAGCCGGCCUGAGAGGGCGACCGGCCACAUUGGGACUGAGAUACGGCCCAGACUCCUACGGGAGGCAGCAGUGGGGAAUAUUGCACAAUGGGCGCAAGCCUGAUGCAGCGACGCCGCGUGAGGGAUGGAGGCCUUCGGGUUGUAAACCUCUUUUGUUAGGGAGCAAGGCAUUUUGUGUUGAGUGUACCUUUCGAAUAAGCACCGGCUAACUACGUGCCAGCAGCCGCGGUAAUACGUAGGGUGCAAGCGUUAUCCGGAAUUAUUGGGCGUAAAGGGCUCGUAGGCGGUUCGUCGCGUCCGGUGUGAAAGUCCAUCGCUUAACGGUGGAUCCGCGCCGGGUACGGGCGGGCUUGAGUGCGGUAGGGGAGACUGGAAUUCCCGGUGUAACGGUGGAAUGUGUAGAUAU